rnacentral:snoRNA from 1 species
AAGUUAACAUUGAUUAGAAAAAUAAUUCCUUGUUCCAAUUUGCUUAAUUUGGGCAUGACAAACCUCUUAUUACACCUAUAGAAUCUAAGCUAC